rnacentral:misc_RNA from 1 species
CCAGACACACCAAACUCUAUGAUUGAACGUGGCCAGUACGAAGAGGCUUGGUCCCAACUGAAGAGAGUUCGUGGUGUUCAUGAUGUGGAUGAGGAGUUUAAUGACCUUGUUCUUGCUAGUGAAGAAUCAAAGAAAGUUGAGCAUCCUUGGAGAAAUUUGUUGCAGAGGAAAUAUAGGCCUCACCUUACCAUGGCUAUAGCAAUCCCAUUCUUUCAGCAACUCACUGGCAUCAAUGUUAUCGUGUUCUACGCUCCUGUUUUGUUCAAUACGAUUGGUUUCGACAACGAUGCUUCCCUC